rnacentral:rRNA from 1 species
AGCGAACGCUAGCGGCGGGCCUAACACAUGCAAGUCGAGCGGGGAGCUUCGGCUCUUUAGCGGCGAACGGGUGAGUAACACGUAGGUAAUGUGUCCUCUGGUGGGGAAUAACCGUGGGAAACCAUGGCUAAUACCGCAUAUCGUGCUUCGGCAUGAAAGCCCCCGAAUGAUAUCGGGGCGGCCAGUUGAGCAGCCUGCGUCCCAUUAUUUAGUCCUAGUUGGUGGGGUAAUGGCCCACCAAGGGUACGAUGGGUAGCUGGUCUGAGAGGAUGAUCAGCCACACUGGAACUGAGACACGGUCCAGACUCCUACGGGAGGCAG